rnacentral:rRNA from 1 species
CGGGAUGUUCAUAACCCUUUGUUGUCCGACUCUGUUGCCUCCGGGGCGACCCUGCCUUCGGGCGGGGGCUCCGGGUGGACACUUCAAACUCUUGCGUAACUUUGCAGUCUGAGUAAACUUAAUUAAUAAAUUAAAACUUUUAACAACGGAUCUCUUGGUUCUGGCAUCGAUGAAGAACGCAGCGAAAUGCGAUAAGUAAUGUGAAUUGCAGAAUUCAGUGAAUCAUCGAAUCUUUGAACGCACAUUGCGCCCCCUGGUAUUCCGGGGGGCAUGCCUGUUCGAGCGUCAUUUCACCACUCAAGCCUCGCUUGGUAUUGGGCAACGCGGUCCGCCGCGUGCCUCAAAUCGACCGGCUGGGUCUUCUGUCCCCUAAGCGUUGUGGAAACUAUUCGCUAAAGGGUGCUCGGGAGGCUACGCCGUAAAACAACCCCAUUUCUAAGGUUGACCUCGGAUCAGGUAGGGAUACCCGCUGAACUUAAGCAUAUCAAUAAGCGGAGGAA